UAGGGAAUCUUCCACAAUGGACGCAAGUCUGAUGGAGCAACGCCGCGUGAGUGAAGAAGGUUUUCGGAUCGUAAAGCUCUGCUGUUGGUGAAGAAGGAUAGAGGUAGUAACUGGCCUUUAUUUGACGGUAAUCAACCAGAAAGUCACGGCUAACUACGUGCCAGCAGCCGCGGUAAUACGUAGGUGGCAAGCGUUGUCCGGAUUUAUUGGGCGUAAAGCGAGCGCAGGCGGAAGAAUAAGUCUGAUGUGAAAGCCCUCGGCUUAACCGAGGAACGGCAUCGGAAACUGUUUUUCUUGAGUGCAGAAGAGGGGAGUGGAAUUCCAUGUGUAGCGGUGGGAUGCGUAGAUAUAUGGAAGAACAACAGUGGCGAGUGCGGCUCUCUGGUCUGCAACUGACGCUGAGGCUCGAAAGCAUGGGUAGCGAACAGG
rnacentral:rRNA from 1 species